UCUGACAUCAGUGAUUCUCCUG
rnacentral:miRNA from 1 species